GCCGGCAUAGCUCAGCUGGUAGAGCGGCGCAUUCGUAAUGCGUAGGUCGGGUGUUCGAGUCACCCUGCCGGCACCA
rnacentral:tRNA from 1 species